UACGGAGGGUGCAAGCGUUAUCCGGAUUCACUGGGUUUAAAGGGUGCGUAGGUGGGUUGGUAAGUCCGUGGUGAAAUCUCCGAGCUUAACUCGGAAACUGCCGUGGAUACUAUCAAUCUUGAAUACUGUGGAGGUAAGCGGAAUAUGUCAUGUAGCGGUGAAAUGCUCAGAUAUGACAUAGAACACCGAUAGCGAAGGCAGCUUGCUACACAGUCAUUGACACUGAGGCACGAAAGCGUGGGGAGCAAACAGG
rnacentral:rRNA from 1 species